rnacentral:rRNA from 1 species
UACGUAGGGUGCGAGCGUUGUCCGGAAUUACUGGGCGUAAAGAGCUCGUAGGUGGUUUGUCGCGUUGUUCGUGAAAAACCGGAGGCUCAACCUCUGGCGUGCGGGCGAUACGGGCAGACUUGAGUACUGCAGGGGAGACUGGAAUUCCUGGUGUAGCGGUGGAAUGCGCAGAUAUCGGGAGGAACACCAGUGGCGAAGGCGACUUCCUGGCCUGUUCUUGACGCUGAGGCGCGAAAGCUAGGGGAGCAAACAGG